rnacentral:rRNA from 1 species
GGAUUUAUUGGGUUUAAAGGGUGCGUAGGCGGUUUGAUAAGUUAGAGGUGAAAUCCCGGGGCUUAACUCCGGAACUGCCUCUAAUACUGUUAGACUAGAGAGUAGUUGCGGUAGGCGGAAUGUAUGGUGUAGCGGUGAAAUGCUUAGAGAUCAUACAGAACACCGAUUGCGAAGGCAGCUUACCAAACUAUAUCUGACGUUGAGGCACGAAAGCGUGGGGAGCAAACAGGAUUAGAUACCCUGGUAGUCCACGCAGUAAACGAUGAUAACUCGUUGUCGGCGAUACACAGUCGGUGACUAAGCGAAAGCGAUAAGUUAUCCACCUGGGGAGUACGUUCGCAAGAAUGAAACUCAAAGGAAUUGACGGGGGCCCGCACAAGCGGAGGAACAUGUGGUUUAAUUCGAUGAUACGCGAGGAACCUUACCCGGGCUUGAAAGUUAGCGACGAUUCUUGAAAGAGGAUUUCCCUUCGGGGCGCGAAACUAGGUGCUGCAUGGUUGUCGUCAGCUCGUGCCGUGAGGUGUCGGGUUAAGUCCCAUAACGAGCGCAACCCCUACCGUUAGUUGCCAUCAGGUGAAGCUGGGCACUCUGGCGGGACUGCCGGUGAUAAGCCGAGAGGAAGGUGGGGAUGACGUCAAAUCAGCACGGCCCUUACGUCCGGGGCUACACACGUGUUACAAUGGUAGGUACAGAGGGCAGCUACCCAGCGAUGGGAUGCGAAUCUCGAAAGCCUAUCUCAGUUCGGAUUGGAGGCUGAAACCCGCCUCCAUGAAGUUGGAUUCGCUAGUAAUCGCGCAUCAGCCAUGGCGC